CCUACGGGAGGCUGCAGUGGGGAAUAUUGGGCAAUGGCCGCAAGCCUGACCCAGCAACGUAGCGUGAAGGAAGAAGGCUCUCGGGUUGUAAACUUCUUUUGUCAGGGACGAAGCAAGUGACGGUACCUGACGAAUAAGCCACGCCUAACUACGUGCCAGCAGUCGCGGUAAUACGUAGGUGGCAAGCGUUAUCCGGAUUUACUGGGUGUAAAGGGAGUGUAGGCGGGACUGCAAGUCAGAUGUGAAAACCACGGGCUCAACCUGUGGCCUGCAUUUGACACUGUAGUUCUUGAGUACUGGGGAGGCAGACGGAAUUCCUGGUGUAGCGGUGAAAUGCUUAGAUAUUAGGAAGAACACCGGUGGCGAAGGCAGUCUGCUGGACAGCAACUGACGCUGAGGCGCGAAAGCGUGGGGAGCGAACAGGAUUAGAUACCCGUGUAGUC
rnacentral:rRNA from 1 species